AUAGACCCGAAACCCGGUGAUCUAGCCAUGGGCAGGUUGAAGGUUGGGUAACACUAACUGGAGGACCGAACCGACUAAUGUUGAAAAAUUAGCGGAUGACCUGUGGCUGGGGGUGAAAGGCCAAUCAAACCGGGAGAUAGCUGGUUCUCCCCGAAAGCUAUUUAGGUAGCGCCUCGUGAAUUCAUCUCCGGGGGUAGAGCACUGUUUCGGCUAGGGGGCCAUCCCGGCUUACCAACCCGAUGCAAACUGCGAAUACCGGAGAAUGUUAUCACGGGAGACACACGGCGGGUGCUAACGUCCGUCGUGAAGAGGGAAACAACCCAGACCGCCAGCUAAGGUCCCAAAGUCAUGGUUAAGUGGGAAACGAUGUGGGAAGGCCCAGACAGCCAGGAUGUUGGCUUAGAAGCAGCCAUCAUUUAAAGAAAGCGUAAUAGCUCACUGGUCGAGUCGGCCUGCGCGGAAGAUGUAACGGGGCUAAACCAUGCACCGAAGCUGCGGCAGCGACGCUGAUGCGUUGUUGGGUAGGGGAGCGUUCUGUAAGCCUGCGAAGGUGUGUCGUGAGGCAUGCUGGAGGUAUCAGAAGUGCGAAUGCUGACAUAAGUAACGAUAAAGCGGGUGAAAAGCCCGCUCGCCGGAAGACCAAGGGUUCCUGUCCAACGUUAAUCGGGGCAGGGUGAGUCGACCCCUAAGGCGAGGCCGAAAGGCGUAGUCGAUGGGAAACGGGUUAAUAUUCCCGUACUUGGUGUUACUGCGAAGGGGGGACGGAGAAGGCUAUGUUGGCCGGGCGACGGUUGUCCCGGUUUAAGCGUGUAGGUGUGUGUUCCAGGUAAAUCCGGUUCACUUUAACACUGAGGCGUGAUGACGAGGCACUACGGUGCUGAAGCAACAAAUGCCCUGCUUCCAGGAAAAGCCUCUAAGCAUCAGGUAACAUCAAAUCGUACCCCAAACCGACACAGGUGGUCAGGUAGAGAAUACCAAGGCGCUUGAGAGAACUCGGGUGAAGGAACUAGGCAAAAUGGUGCCGUAACUUCGGGAGAAGGCACGCUGACACGUAGGUGAAGUGAUUUACUCAUGGAGCUGAAGUCAGUCGAAGAUACCAGCUGGCUGCAACUGUUUAUUAAAAACACAGCACUGUGCAAACACGAAAGUGGACGUAUACGGUGUGACGCCUGCCCGGUGCCGGAAGGUUAAUUGAUGGGGUCAGCGCAAGCGAAGCUCCUGAUCGAAGCCCCGGUAAACGGCGGCCGUAACUAUAACGGUCCUAAGGUAGCGAAAUUCCUUGUCGGGUAAGUUCCGACCUGCACGAAUGGCGUAAUGAUGGCCAGGCUGUCUCCACCCGAGACUCAGUGAAAUUGAACUCGCUGUGAAGAUGCAGUGUACCCGCGGCAAGACGGAAAGACCCCGUGAACCUUUACUAUAGCUUGACACUGAACAUUGAGCCUUGAUGUGUAGGAUAGGUGGGAGGCUUUGAAGUGUGGACGCCAGUCUGCAUGGAGCCGGCCUUGAAAUACCACCCUUUAAUGUUUGAUGUUCUAACGUGGACCCGUGAUCCGGGUUGCGGACAGUGUCUGGUGGGUAGUUUGACUGGGGCGGUCUCCUCCUAAAGAGUAACGGAGGAGCACGAAGGUUGGCUAAUCCUGGUCGGACAUCAGGAGGUUAGUGCAAUGGCAUAAGCCAGCUUGACUGCGAGCGUGACGGCGCGAGCAGGUGCGAAAGCAGGUCAUAGUGAUCCGGUGGUUCUGAAUGGAAGGGCCAUCGCUCAACGGAUAAAAGGUACUCCGGGGAUAACAGGCUGAUACCGCCCAAGAGUUCAUAUCGACGGCGGUGUUUGGCACCUCGAUGUCGGCUCAUCACAUCCUGGGGCUGAAGUAGGUCCCAAGGGUAUGGCUGUUCGCCAUUUAAAGUGGUACGCGAGCUGGGUUUAGAACGUCGUGAGACAGUUCGGUCCCUAUCUGCCGUGGGCGCUGGAGAACUGAGGGGGGCUGCUCCUAGUACGAGAGGACCGGAGUGGACGCAUCACUGGUGUUCGGGUUGUCAUGCCAAUGGCACUGCCCGGUAGCUAAAUGCGGAAGAGAUAAGUGCUGAAAGCAUCUAAGCACGAAACUUGCCCCGAGAUGAGUUCUCCCUGAGACUUAGAGUCUCCUGAAGGAACGUUGAAGACGACGACGUUGAUAGGCCGGGUGUGUAAGCGCAGCGAUGCGUUGAGCUAACCGGUACUAAUGAACCGUGAGGCUUAACCUUACAACGCCGAA
rnacentral:rRNA from 1 species